AGGACGAACGCUGGCGGCGUGCUUAACACAUGCAAGUCGAACGGAAAGGCCCGCUUGCGGGUACUCGAGUGGCGAACGGGUGAGUAACACGUGGGCAACCUGCCCUCAGCUCUGGGAUAACUCCGGGAAACCGGUGCUAAUACUGGAUAUCGACUUCUGCUCGCAUGGGUGGUUGUUGAAAGUUUUUCGGCUGGGGAUGGGCCCGCGGCCUAUCAGCUUGUUGGUGGGGUGAUGGCCUACCAAGGCGACGACGGGUAGCCGGCCUGAGAGGGCGACCGGCCACACUGGGACUGAGACACGGCCCAGACUCCUACGGGAGGCAGCAGUGGGGAAUAUUGCGCAAUGGGCGGAAGCCUGACGCAGCGACGCCGCGUGAGGGAUGACGGCCUCGGUUGUAACCGUCUUCAGCUCUGACGAAGCGAGAGUGACGGUAGGAGCAGAAGAAGCACCGGCCAACUACGUGCCAGCAGCCGC
rnacentral:rRNA from 1 species